GAGACCCCUGAGGUAACCGCACGGUGUGGGGGCUUCGAGGCGGACGACUUGGGAGGGAGGUGUUGAGAGGGUUGUAGGGGCCCCUGAGUGAGUUUGGGGCGGCCCUGGGGCUGUUGGCGUAGGCUUUGGGGCACGCCUCCAGCUCCCUGGGCUGGGUCUCCCCGCCCACCUGGAGGAAGAUCUCCGUGGAGCAUCCUAGCCAGAGAUCGCUGAGGCUGUACCAGAGCGCCGGAUGGGGACCAGAGGGGAGGCAGAGGACCGGGAUUUGGAGCUUCUUAGGGUUACUGCUGCGGAGCGCUUUCGUUCCCGAGAAUCAACCUCAAAUCAUCUAACGUGAAGCCACAGACAUCUUGGGCAAUUUUA
rnacentral:lncRNA from 1 species